rnacentral:rRNA from 1 species
UACAGAGGUCCCAAGCGUUGUUCGGAUUUACUGGGCGUAAAGGGCGCGUAGGCGGCCACCGCAAGUCGACUGUGAAAUCUCCGGGCUUAACCCGGAAAGGUCAGCCGAUACUGCGGGGCUAGAGUGCAGAAGGGCAACUGGAAUUCUCGGUGUAGCGGUGAAAUGCGUAGAUAUCGAGAGGAACACCUGCGGCGAAGGCGGGUUGCUGGGCUGACACUGACGCUGAUGCGCGAAAGCUAGGGGAGCGAACGGG